AUGUCUGGGAUUUUGGCUGGGAGGGCACAUCCUACCAGGAAUGGGCGGCUGAGGGAGCGUCGGCCAUUUUCCCCUCACGUUUUCCCGCUCUUUUUCCCCUCACGUUUUCCCGCUCUUUUUCCCCUCACAUUUUCUCUUUUUCCCCUCACGUUUCCCACUCUUUUCCCCUCACUUCUUCCCCUCAUGUUUCCUUCUUUUUCCCUCACGCUCCCGUUCUUUUUCCCUUCACAUUUCCCGCCCAUUUCCCCUCACAUUUUCCGCCCUUUUUCCCCUCACGUUUCCCGCUCUUUUUCCCCUCACGUUUCCUGCUCUUUUUCCCCUCACAUUUCCCACCCUUUCCCCCUCGUUUCCUGCUUUUUCUCUUCACAUUCCUGCUCUUUUCCCCUCACAUUUCCCACUCUUUCCCCCUCGUUUCCUGCUUUUUCCCCUCACAUUUCCUGCCCUUUUCCCCUCACGUUUCCCACCCAUUUCCCCUCAUGUUUCCUGCUUUUUCCCCGCACACUCCCGCUCUUUUCCCCUCACGUUUUCCGCUCUUUUCCCCUCACGUUUCCCUCUCUUUUUCCCCUCACAUCCCCGUUAUUUUUCCCCUCACGUUUCCCGCUCUUUUCCCCUCACGUUUCCCGCUCUUUUUCCCCUCACAUUCCUGUUAUUUUUCCCCUCACAUUUUCCCGCUCUUUUCCCCUCACAUUUCCCACUCUUUCCCCCUCGUUUCCUGCUUUUUCCCCUCACAUUUCCUGCCCUUUUCCCCUCACGUUUCCCACUCUUUUCCCCUCACUUCUUCCCCUCAUGUUUCCUUCUUUUUCCCCUCACGCUCCCGUUCUUUUUCCCUUCACAUUUCCCGCCCAUUUCCCCUCACAUUUUCUGCCCUCUUUCCCCUCAUGUUUCCUGCUUUUUCCCCGCACACUCCCGCUCUUUUCCCCUCACAUUCCCAUUAUUUUUCCCCUCACAUUUUCCCGCUCUUUUCCCCUCACGUUCCCACCAUUUUUCCCCUCACGUUUUCCUCUCUUUUUCCCCUCACAUCCCCGUUAUUUUUCCCCUCACAUUUUCCCGCUCUUUUUCCCCUCACGUUUCCCGCUCUUUUUCCCCCCUCACGUUUUCCACCAUUUUCCCUCAUAA
rnacentral:lncRNA from 1 species